rnacentral:rRNA from 1 species
AUGAACUUGUGCUCCUAUGUGGUCAACCCCGCCACGCGACAAUGGGGACGUCUCCACUACAAGACCGACCACCGCCACCACCUCGCAUACCUUGCGUUCGACCCUGCCGUCUCACCCCACUAUGAGGUGCUUUUGAUCCCGUGUGUACCUGACAAAGUGGACCCUGCACAAGACUCUAUGGAAUGGCCACCAUCCUCGUGGGUGUUUGAUGUGUUCUCAUCUAGUACAAGGAAAUGGCUCAAGAGGUCCUUUAUCCGCCAAGGCGUGGCUGCGGGCACAGUGACCGAUGUUCGGGUAGAUCCACGAGAGCCAAAAUCUAUGUGGCGGGGAGGUCCAAGGCAGCGAUAUAGUGCGUACUGGCGAGGAUCACUCUAUGUGCAUUGUCGCGGUGCGUUUGUCGUCAGAUUAUCUUUGUCGGAUGGCAAGUACCAAGUAAUUAAGAUGCCAACAGAUAUUGCAGAAAGAAAACAGGAUCAAUAUCUUGGCAAAUCAGAAAAAGGGGUGUACCUUGCAGCUAUAAUAUAUGAUGAACAUAUACUCCAAGUUUAUACCCUUGUUGAAUCAAGCAGACACGUAGAUUGGGUGUUGAAGUAUCAUGUUGAUCUCGAGCCAUGUGCAACGGCAGAUGUCCGGAUCGACACAGGUGAGCUCGAGGGAUUUGAAAAAACAUGGACCUUAAAUGGAGGACGACGAGAAGAAGGAUGGGGAGAAGCAGAUGAAGAAAAAGGAGAAGGAGAAAACGGUGGAAUGCUAAUACCAGAGAAUCAAGAAUGGGACUCCGACGAUGAUAAUGUUCUGAAUGUCAAAGCUGAUUAUGGAUGCUUCUAUGGAAGGAACGUCUACUUCCUUGGCUUUCACCCCUACAAGGAGGUUGUUUUCUUGGGGUUAUCAUUUACAGGAAUGGCUUAUCAUUUGGAAAGCUCGAAGGUUCAGUAUCUUGGAGACAUGCGCCCAAAAGAUUACUAUCAUGGACAUGCGAAUGACAUACACGACUCAUUUCCGUACACCCCUUGCAUGAUUGGGGAGCUUCCAAAACAUGCUUCAAGGAGUCGUCGCAGAGGUUGGAGCAUUUAA